rnacentral:rRNA from 1 species
GACGAACGCUGGCGGCGUGCCUAAUACAUGCAAGUCGAGCGCAGGAAAUCGACGGAACCCUUCGGGGGGAAGUCGACGGAAUGAGCGGCGGACGGGUGGGUAACACGUAAAGAACCUGCCCUCAGGUCUGGGAUAACCACGAGAAAUCGGGGCUAAUACCGGAUGGGUCAUCGGACCGCAUGGUCCGAGGAUGAAAGGCGCUCCGGCGUCGCCUGGGGAUGGCUUUGCGGUGCAUUAGCUAGUUGGUGGGGUAAUGGCCCACCAAGGCGACGAUGCAUAGCCGACCUGAGCGGGUGAUCGGCCACACUGGGACUGAGACACGGCCCAGACUCCUACGGGAGGCAGCAGUAGGGAAUCUUCCACAAUGGACGAAAGUCUGAUGGAGCAACGCCGCGUGAACGAUGAAGGCCUUCGGGUCGUAAAGUUCUGUUGUAAGGGAAGAACAAGUGCCGCAGGCAAUGGCGGCACCUUGACGGUACCUUGCGAGAAAGCCACGGCUAACUACGUGCCAGCCGCCGCCGUAACAC